UUUUUUUCAACAUCAGCCGGCCAGAGAAAAGGAAAUUGGGGCUACAAGUUGCACAAGGAGCUCUUGUUCCACUAUGCAGCAGAGCGAAACAUCUCCGGGCUGUGGCAUUUCCAAUGCCCCCUGUUCCUAGCUAACCUUGCAAUGCUUAUGACUAAUCUAAUCAUCACAUGUAUAUGAUAGUUGCAAAGUUUUGGUUGCCAUUGCAACAGAAGCACAAGAUUGUGAUUGUUACAGUUAUCACUUGUAUAUGACUAGUCUAAUCAAGUACUGACAUUGCUCUAAAUCGAUCAACCCCCAAGUAACUUUCGAGGAAGCUAUGAACACUGCCGAUAAGUAUUUAGAUCCUCUUCCAUUUCUACCAUUC
rnacentral:lncRNA from 1 species